UACGUAGGGCGCAAGCGUUGUCCGGAAUCAUUGGGCGUAAAGCGCGUGUAGGCGGCUCGAUAAGUCCGUUCUGAAAUCCCCGGGCUCAACCCGGGAACUGCGUCCGAUACUGGCAGGCUUGAAUUCGGGAGAGGGAUGUGGAAUUCCAGGUGUAGCGGUGAAAUGCGUAGAUAUCUGGAGGAACACCGGUGGCGAAGGCGGCAUCCUGGACCGAUAUUGACGCUGAUGCGCGAAAGCCAGGGGAGCAAACGGG
rnacentral:rRNA from 1 species